AGUAGAUGUGUAGUAAAUAGUAUCAAAGAAUAAGUAAUUACACUAAGCAAGGAUUGCAAUUACAUUCAGAAAGUGUUCCUAGUAAGAAAGCUCAUCCUGGGACUCGAUUUUCCCUCGAUUUGUUCCUGCCGGGUUAAUCGUUAGCAGUUACUCGUUCAAAACAAGGGGAAAUAUUUGCAGCUCUUAAAAUUCAUUGAUAACAUUUAAGACAAUAUUCCUCGAAACUGAUUUAAAUUGCCUCGAAAAUACUCUCCUAUAACUAAGCACACAAUUUAUCAUUCCUGGCAACACGGCGUACUGUUAUUGUUUACCUUUGAUGACUUGCUUUGUGCGUAGUCUCUGUACAAUUUCAUGAACAAAUCAGUGCAGUUUUUCCAUUACGAGAAAAACAGGAAACAGUUCAAGAGUGAAAGCAAAAGAGAUGUUGGAAAAUGGCACGAGAAAGCUUCGGUUUUCCAAUUGUGCCUUCUUGUGCACUAACCGGUGCGUCCUCAACGGAUUAUACCAUCUCUGAAACCGUUGCACAGUUCACCGGACUUGGAAAUGGUUGAAUAUGUGCACUAUCAGCCAGAUGCCAUGCUGGUACCGAGAUGGAAGAAACGCUGGUCAACGAUAGCUAGGUCUGUUCGGCAGACCCAUCACUGCACCACGGGAUGAUUAUUUAAACUUACCUAAAACAGUUCAGGAUCGGAUGGACCACGAGCCACCAAAAGUGACAAAUAUUGGGAAACGAAUAAUUCUUGUGGAUUUUGAUUUUGGUGGGUUCAGCUACGGAUUCACCGACAGUCGAAUGGUUGAUGCAGCGCAUGAUGCAGGUCUCCUUUCGAUAGCAUCGGACGUUGCCAUAGAAACGAACGUAAGAGAUCGUCCUGACAAUGGCUCCUACGACCUGAUCGAAACGGAUGUCGCAUAUACUACGGAACCGGAGUUUGUGGCCACUGCGAGAAAGGGUACGAACCUCCUGCACGUGGCCACUUCACCACAAUUUACGAACAGCGAACAUUGUGGUUAGCGUUGUAGGAAGAAAUCAGUGCUGAAGCAACAUCUGGUACCACACCAACAAACUCGUUGAGCUUUUCUACGCCAUGAGUAUGAAUUAAUGAUCGACCUCGUAAGAAUCGAGUUUGGCCCGUGGGUGCAAUGGGUUUUGGUAGACACAGCAUAGCAAACGCGAGUUCGACCCGUAGGUGCGGGACGUCCCUUGGGUGCAACGAGGUGCAUGGAUUGGACUGAACUCGUCAAAUUCAUAGGUCGAUCCGAAGUCGCUGCACCCCCGGAUCGACUCGAACUCGUUGGAACUAGUAAUUUUAAGGGCGUACAACCGCUGCAGCUGGAAUCCAUAAGGCCGAG